AUGCCUCUCACCCUGCAGAGGGUCCUAUCUUGUCCCACAGGUAGAUCUACACCACCACUAGCCGCCCCUCCAACUUGCACAGGCCCCCGCCCUCCAGGGCCUCCUUUUCGGUCUGGCGGGUCCUGCCUCCUCCUCACCCAGAAGCUUCUCUGGCCCUCUGGAGUCCGGGCACACCUUAUGCAAGAACAAUGUCCACAUUCCUUUGUCCUUGGACUCCACUUGGCUGAGGUCUCCUCCCUGGGCUCUGGGAGUUUCCCCAGCCUGCUUUCCCAAGUCUGGACUUUCCCUCUGGCCCUCCCCCUCUCGGGCUGGCAGGGUGGGGGAAGCAGCCUCUUCCUGGGCUCAGAGAAUCCCACCCCAGCUCAGAAGGUGCAGGACCGCAGCCCGGGACGGACCUCAUCCCUCCUAGGGACUCCAGACCACUGUCUCUCUCAGCAGGUCCUGGCUCCUGGAACUCUUGGCCACCAUGGUUUCCGAGAGCCUGUCCGAUGGCAUGAAGAAACUGAAUGCUCGAAUGCAUCAGCUUGUGGACAAAUUUACUGAAAAAAUGGGAAACAAGGAAUCGGAACCUGAAAAGGUGAAGUUGAGCCUGGAUGAUCUGGAGGUGAGCCGCCGCCUCCCCGUCCACCAUGCUUAGUCCCUGGGUCUUAGGCUCCACAGGGUACUAAGUCUGGGCUCUGGGUCCCCUUGGGAAUCAACCUGGAGCAGUAGGGGCCACAGUGGGGAGGGGGCGGCAGGAGCAGCCCAAGCACCCUGUGUCUUCCUCUCCCAGGACGACUUCAGAGAGUGCAUGUUGGACACCGUGGUGGAUUGCUAUCAAGGACAGCACCUGGUGAGUGAGAGGCACCCAUCUCUGCGCCUUACCUCCCUUCACCUUUGCCCUGUCUUUUUUUUGUUUUUUUGACACAGAGUCUCACACUGUCACCCAGGCUAGAGUGCAAUGGAGCCAUCUGGGCUCUCUGCAACCUCCCUCUCCCAGGUUCAAGUGAUUCUCCUCCCUCAGGCUCCUCAGCAGCUGAGACUCUAGAAGUGCACCACCAUGCCCGGCUAAAUUUUAUUUUCAUUUCUAGUGCGGGCAGAGUUUCGCCAUGUUGUCCUGGCUCAUCUUGAACUCCCAACCUUUUGAUCUGCCUGUCUUGUCCUCCCUUCAUGCGUGAGCCACCACGCCUGGCAGACCCCUGCCCUGUCUUGAUGUUGGUGUGGGCAGGGUGUGCCCAGCCCCGGAGCUGAGGGUGGAGGGCUGGGAGUGACAGCCGAGCUGGGAGCUGCCCCCACCCUCCUCCAGCACACAGUAGCAGAGCCCUGCCUUCGACUCAAGGCACAAUGGGGGCCCUGGCCUGGUGACCAAGCAGACACAGCCACUGUGUCACUGCUGUGGAGGGGAGUGGAGAGGAGGGGACUCUGGGAAAAGUCCCUCCUGUCCAUGGUGCUGUGGCUGAGAAACCAACACCUGUGGGCUUCCAUCUCCCAGACUCAGGAAAAGGCUGGGAGGCCUGGGUGUGGCCAGGGCCUGGGGCCGACACCCCCACCUGCAGACCCUGAAUGGUGCCCCCUUUCCACAGGAGCUCAUUCCUCUACUUGAAAAAGAAAGAGAUGAAUUACGACUCAGAGGCAACAGACCCCCUGCUCUGGAAGCUGAGGACCCCGAAACCCAGGAGCCCGAGGAGAGCUUUUGUGACAAGGUGAUGAGAUGGUUCUGCGCCAUGAUGCAGCGGCUGCAGAUGUGGUGGCAGAAGUUUGUGGCCUGGGUGAAGAAGGUGGUGGCGGCCCUGGUCGAUGCAGCAAAGGCCUUCUGGAAAGAGCUUGAGCGUUUCUGCUGCUCUCUGGCAGAGCUCCUCAGGUCCCUUUUCAGUACUAAGGAAGCCCAUAGAGGGGAUUGAGGAGCUGACAGCCCAGAAGUGCUAUGAACCCCAGUGAAGCUUCCAAUGCCACUUUUGCCCUCCCCUUCACCUCGAACCCACCCUGACCCCUUCCUCAGCUCUGCUAUGCCCUGCCCCCCUCCCACACACCCAAGCCCCUUGCCUGGCGUUGCUGCUGCAGCUCUGACCUGGCACUAUCACGAUGGUGUCAUAAUAAAACCUUAAACUUACCUGGCA
rnacentral:lncRNA from 13 species